AAAUUGAAGAGUUUGAUCAUGGCUCAGAUUGAACGCUGGCGGCAGGCCUAACACAUGCAAGUCGAACGGUAACAGGAAGCAGCUUGCUGUUUCGCUGACGAGUGGCGGACGGGUGAGUAAUGUCUGGGAAACUGCCUGAUGGAGGGGGAUAACUACUGGAAACGGUAGCUAAUACCGCAUAACGUCGCAAGACCAAAGAGGGGGACCUUCGGGCCUCUUGCCAUCGGAUGUGCCCAGAUGGGAUUAGCUAGUAGGUGGGGUAACGGCUCACCUAGGCGACGAUCCCUAGCUGGUCUGAGAGGAUGACCAGCCACACUGGAACUGAGACACGGUCCAGACUCCUACGGGAGGCAGCAGUGGGGAAUAUUGCACAAUGGGCGCAAGCCUGAUGCAGCCAUGCCGCGUGUAUGAAGAAGGCCUUCGGGUUGUAAAGUACUUUCAGCGGGGAGGAAGGGAGUAAAGUUAAUACCUUUGCUCAUUGACGUUACCCGCAGAAGAAGCACCGGCUAACUCCGUGCCAGCAGCCGCGGUAAUACGGAGGGUGCAAGCGUUAAUCGGAAUUACUGGGCGUAAAGCGCACGCAGGCGGUUUGUUAAGUCAGAUGUGAAAUCCCCGGGCUCAACCUGGGAACUGCAUCUGAUACUGGCAAGCUUGAGUCUCGUAGAGGGGGGUAGAAUUCCAGGUGUAGCGGUGAAAUGCGUAGAGAUCUGGAGGAAUACCGGUGGCGAAGGCGGCCCCCUGGACGAAGACUGACGCUCAGGUGCGAAAGCGUGGGGAGCAAACAGGAUU
rnacentral:rRNA from 2 species